AAUAAAAUAGAGUUUUUGUGGAACACACAGAACUGAGAUUUGAUUAUUGAUUAAACCAAAAAUACCGUGCGUAACAUGGAUAGUGAUCUAGUUGAAAACUAUAAUC
rnacentral:sRNA from 1 species